rnacentral:rRNA from 1 species
UACAGGGGGUGCAAACGUUGCUCGGAAUCAUUGGGCGUAAAGCGCACGUAGGCGGUUCGUUAUGUCGGAUGUGAAAGCCCUUGGCUUAACCGAGGAAGUGCAUCCGAAACUGGCGAGCUAGAGUACUAAAGAGGAUCGCGGAAUUCCCGGUGUAGAGGUGAAAUUCGUAGAUAUCGGAGGAACACCGGUGGCGAAGGCGGCGAUCUGGGUAGAUACUGACGCUGAGGUGCGAAAGCGUGGGAGCAACAGG